GGACCCUCCGAGCCAGGUGAUACGAAGCCUUCUGAAGAUUUGAAUCAAGGAAAUGAGGAGCCAUUGAAGAAUACUGUUGUCCUAUCCCAGAAGGAGCAAGCGGACAACACUGAUAUCCUGACCACUAACCAUCCAGCACCACUUAAAGUUUUAAAAAGAAUAACAGAAAGAAAGAAGUGGCUGAAACCUAAAUGCCAUAUGGAGAAGACAGCUAAUUGCCACACUCUCCUCUUUGGUCUUUCCUGGUACGCAGCAUACAAGCCCACAGAUUGAGGACUCUGCACUUGCUGUUCUCUCUGCCUGGAGCUCUAUGGCUCCAGAUAGACUCCUGCCAACUCCUUCGCCUUGUCCAAGUUACCUUCAUUAAAUGUCAGCUUAAAUGUGUGCCUACUUUUUGCCCUACCUAGAAUUGCAAGCACCUCUCACCACUGUGCUCCCAUUCUCCUUAACUUAAGCCACUUUUAUUCUCAUAAUAAAGCCACAUAUUUUUUCUUAUUAUAUCAUAAUCGUACUGUAUAAUUUAUAUUUUAUUACUUUUGUUUGUAUACUUAUUGUAUGUUUCUGUUCACAAGGAUGUAAACCCCAUGAACACAGAGAUCUUUGAUUGUUUUAUUCACUGAUUUAUGCCAAAUGUUUGGAACAAUGCCUGGCACAUAGUAGAUGUUUGAUAAUUUUUUUUUUUUCUGAAUGAAUAAAUACAUUUUAGCCAAAUAUGCUGACUCUGCUUGUUUGGUUAUAUUUAUGUGUGUGUGAAUGUAUGUGCAGAAAAAGAAGAAAUUAGUUAAUACCAAAUCUAUAAAAUGGGAAAAAUAAUGCUUACCUUAUAGUGUUGUUAUGAAACUCAACUAAUAUAAGAUAUGUGAAGGGUCUAGCAUAAAAUG
rnacentral:lncRNA from 1 species